AUGGAAACAGGUGUGUUAAGGAACGUAAUGAAGGGAAAAGGUUGACAAUUGGCUAUUUUAGACAGUCUUUUCCCUAUAGUGAGUAUCUUGGAAUGACUCAGUGAAGACUACUCUCGAUUCCACCAGGAGAAGGACCAUCACUUCCCAAGUUUGUAAGAAAACUCACUAGCUGCGUUUCCAUUGACCAUAGAAUGGUGCAAAUUGGUAUUAUGAAACUAAACUUGUGGAUUGAGAACAAGGCAAUUUCAAAAAAGCUCACGUUUUUUUGUUAAAGAUUAUGCGCUAGAAUGAGGUGAUUUUUGAUUGAUGUAUUUUGCAAAACUGCAAUGAAAAUAUGUUUCACAUCAUGCCAGUUUGUAAACAGCUGCAACGUGCUUGUUUGUAGGUACUGGCCUCUUUGGACACAAGAGAUCUCUCAGCACUGCACAGUUGAUCAAAAGUUCAGAUGUGUUGAAUCAGUAGCUCUUCUGUAAAAACCACAAACUACAAUUUUCCCAAAGCGACACCUGAAUAAAACGCUGACGUCUCCUCCGAUGGCUGAGUGCUAGCACUGUGGCUGAAGUAUUAAUAUAUCGCAUGACCUCCUGGUUCAUUACAGCAAACAUUUGCUCUAAAAAGAAAGAGCCCACAUCUUCAUCGUUAACCUCAGCUGUCCUGUCUGCUUUGAAGGAGCUCACCUUUGCUGAGCGGCGGGUAGAGGACUGGGAAGGAGGAAGAGAGUUGAAGGAAAGGGUGGAUUCACACACACCCACAAGCAAGGAAACGGGCACACACACAUUCAGCAAUGAAGGACAAUAGAAGAUUAGAAGCAGGUAAAAAGCAUAUUAAAUUAGACAGACUGAUCACAAGUUGCUGCAUGCAUAAUUUGGUGCCCUUUGAGCGGUGGCCUUCUAGAUUUAAAGCAAAACAGACAGAGAAAACAUGAAUUCAUGCAGCAACGUCCAGGAAAAAAGGUUUAGUGUGGACAGGAGCCACCACUGGAAUAUAAAUAUAAAAAACCAAGGUGGGAACAACAAGAAUGUUGAACGCUUUUACGUCCGUGCAAGUAAA